rnacentral:rRNA from 1 species
CCUACGGGAGGCAGCAGUGAGGAAUAUUGGUCAAUGGGCGUAAGCCUGAACCAGCCAAGUCGCGUGAGGGAUGAAGGUUCUAUGGAUCGUAAACCUCUUUUAUAAGGGAAUAAAGUGUGGGACGUGUCCUGUUUUGUAUGUACCUUAUGAAUAAGGAUCGGCUAACUCCGUGCCAGCAGCGGCGGUAAUACGGAGGAGCCGAGCGUUAUCCGGAUUUAUUGGGUUUAAAGGGUGCGUAGGCGGCCUUUUAAGUCAGCGGUGAAAGUCUGUGGCUCAACCAUCGAAUUGCCGUUGAAACUGGGAGGCUUGAGUAUGUUUGAGGCAGGCGGAAUGCGUGGUGUAGCGGUGAAAUGCGUAGAUAUCACGCAGAACCCCGAUUGCGAAGGCAGCCUGCCAAGCCAUGACUGACGCUGAUGCACGAAAGCGUGGGGAUCAAACAGGAUUAGAUACCCUAGUAGUC